rnacentral:rRNA from 1 species
AUGGCCACCUCUCCGCCCUUUCACCCGUCCGCUCCAAUCUCAACUGGCACCUCCAUCUCAGUCGCCCAGCCUGCCAGCUCCACCUCUAUAGCCAUCGCCGUUGGCAUCCCGUCUCUGCCCUCUAUUGACUUGGGGCUGCAAGAGCAGACGACUGGCGGCGGCGAGAUCCACGAGCUAGAGCAGGAUACUGGUGAGAUUCGCGGGCAGCAGCCUCCGAAUAACUCUCCUGAGCCCAAAAGAGCGUGCUUUCACAAGUUGAAAGAAUUUUGCGAGCCCAUUUUCUGGUUCUUGCAGGUGCUAUGGGGCCUCACACAGCAACUCAUGCCGAUUCCCACCACAUUGAUCAUCUAUUGGCUCGUCUACCGCCCGGAUCGCUUCCACCCACGCAUCGACUCAGCCAUCCUCACCGCGUUUGACCUCACCAAUGCUACUCUGCAGUAUGACCUCGACGUCGACCUGAGCUUCCGGAACUCGCACCGCCUGGCAAUCCGUUACCUCGACGUCGCCGCAUCCGUCUUCUACAAUGGCACCAGGCUAGGCCCCACCGACGACGCGCUCCCGAGCUUCAUACAGGGGCGCAAGAACACCACCGUCUUACACCCGGCGUUCCAUGGCGUCGUGACCGUGGACUCCGGUGUUGCGGCCGAGCUGCAGAGGGAGAGCACGGUGGGGACGGUGCACCUGAGGGUCACCGUGUCUCUCACGCUCAUGUACAAGGUGUUGUUCAUCAAAGACGUCUUCUUCUACAAAUAUGACUGCUGGCUCUGGUUCCUGGCACCACGCAACGACACGCCCGCACUCUUCUUUGCCGAUGCCGACAUGUGCUGGCGCGCUGAUUAUCAUUUGAGACCAUUCCAGCAAGAAUCGAAAUAG